CUAUAUAUAAAUUACACAUACAAGUUGUUGAGAACUUAGCAUUUUGGACCAGAUUUUUAAGUUUAUUGUUUUUAUGCGCUUUUACAUUAAAUAUCAUCAUUUUUCUCAUCAUCACUUUCAAUUUUUAUGGAAGUUAUAUAUCCUAUAUUUUACUAAAAGUACCCAAAAAAAAAAAAAAAUAUCGAUAUCUUUAAACCAAAAGUGACCACUACCACUAUCGGAUUCGUUUAGUUUCCAACGGCAGUCACUUAAUAUCAAUUUCUUUAAUUUUCUUGUAGCGAUCAUCACUUUUUCAAAUCGAUAUGGAG
rnacentral:lncRNA from 1 species